GGACCCGACUGCUAUUUGGGUGAGGAUAAGCCAUGCGAGUUGUAUGGGAUACCUAAAUUUCCCAUGGCAAACUGCUUAGUAACACAUGAUCAACUUACCCUAUGGAGAAAAAUAACCUCGGGAAACUGAGGAUAAUGUUUCAUAGGUGAAUAGGCUUGGAAAAGUUUUUCAUCGAAAAGGGUAAGAAAAAUGGUUUUUAUCUGCCAUAGGAUAGGAUCGUGGUCGAUUAUGGUUGUUGGUGAGGUAACGGCUCACCAAGCCGACAAUCGAUAGGGGCCGUGAGAGCGGGAGCCCCAAGAUGGGUACUGAGACAGCGACCCAGGCCUUACGAGGCGCAGCAGGCGCGAAACCUCCGCAAUACACGAAAGUGUGACGGGGUUACCCAAAGUGUUCUUUUAAGAACUGUGGUAGGUGAGUAAUAGCCCCUACUAGAAAGGAGAGGGCAAGGCUGGUGCCAGCCGCCGCGGUAAGACCAGCUCUUCAAGUGGUCGGGAUAAUUAUUGGGCUUAAAGUGUCCGUAGCCGGUUUAGUGAGUUCCUGGUAAAAUCGGGUAGCUUAACUAUCCGCAUGCUAGGAAUACUGCUAUACUAGAGGGCGGGAGAGGUCUGAGGUACUACAGGGGUAGGGGUGAAAUCUUAUAAUCCUUGUAGGACCACCAGUGGCGAAGGCGUCAGACUGGAACGCGCCUGACGGUGAGGGACGAAAGCCAGGGGAGCGAACCGGAUUAGAUACCCGGGUAGUCCUGGCCGUAAACGAUGCAUACUAGGUGAUGAUACGGCCAUGAGCCGUGUCAGUGCCGUAGGGAAACCGUUAAGUGUGCCGCCUGGGAAGUACGGUCGCAAGGCUAAAACUUAA
rnacentral:rRNA from 1 species